rnacentral:rRNA from 1 species
UGGGGAAUUUUGGACAAUGGGCGAAAGCCUGAUCCAGCAAUGCCGCGUGUGUGAAGAAGGCCUUCGGGUUGUAAAGCACUUUUGUCCGGAAAGAAAUCCUCUGGGUUAAUACCUCGGGGGGAUGACGGUACCGGAAGAAUAAGCACCGGCUAACUACGUGCCAGCAGCCGCGGUAAUACGUAGGGUGCAAGCGUUAAUCGGAAUUACUGGGCGUAAAGCGUGCGCAGGCGGUUUUGUAAGACGGAUGUGAAAUCCCCGGGCUUAACCUGGGAACUGCAUUCGUGACUGCAAGGCUAGAGUAUGGCAGAGGGGGGUAGAAUUCCACGUGUAGCAGUGAAAUGCGUAGAGAUGUGGAGGAAUGCCGAUGGCGAAGGCAGCCCCCUGGGCCAAUACUGACGCUCAUGCACGAAAGCGUGGGGAGCAAACAGGAUUAGAUACCCUGGUAGUCCACGCCCUAAACGAUGUCAACUAGUUGUUGGGGAUUCAUUUCCUUAGUAACGUAGCUAACGCGUGAAGUUGACCGCCUGGGGAGUACGGUCG